rnacentral:rRNA from 1 species
UGAGGAAUAUUGGGCAAUGGGCGAGAGCCUGACCCAGCCAUGCCGCGUGCAGGAAGACGGUCCUAUGGAUUGUAAACUGCUUUUAUACGGGAAGAAACCCUCCGACGUGUCGGAGCUUGACGGUACCGUAAGAAUAAGGAUCGGCUAACUCCGUGCCAGCAGCCGCGGUAAUACGGAGGAUCCAAGCGUUAUCCGGAAUCAUUGGGUUUAAAGGGUCCGUAGGCGGGUCUAUAAGUCAGUGGUGAAAUCC